GGCGAGAUGGCCGAGCGGUCUAAGGCGCUGGUUUUAGGCACCAGUCCCUUCGGGGGCGUGGGUUCGAAUC
rnacentral:tRNA from 1 species